GUGUAACUUGAGAGAUAGAAAUGCAAUUACUACGGUAUAUUGGAUGUGACAGAAGGUUCAAAGGAGAAUAAUUUCAUAUUUAAUUUAAUAUUGUAUUAGGCUUUUAAUUUAGGUUGAUUUCAGCAUAGAGAGUGAAUAAACUACCCAACCAUGAAGACCAUCUUUCAGCUGGGGAGGCUACACUAUGAGUCUAAGAGAGGUUAUCGGCGCUGCAGAAUUCCUUUAUCCUGUGGAAAAUGGAAGAGCUCAUAAUCACAGACACCAAGAACCUGAUGGCGAAGGCGGCUGCCAUGGACCAGCAUGGAUUGGAGCUCAGGUUAUGGUUACCUGGGUGGGCACCCAGAGGAGCAGCAAGUCUGAAAGAAUUCCUAGCAGAGAAAGUUAAGACUGUCCUUAAAAAGAGGAGGCGCUCGUCAUCGAUGGAGGCUGAGCUCAAAGCAAACUGCAAAAAAGGUUACGGAUUCAUUUGCUUGUUUUAUUUAAUUAUUUUAAAGAUUGUUUUUUGGACCUUUUUCCCCCUAUCACAGUGGCAGUGGAUAGUCAUUAAAGGGGGAGAGAGAUGGGGGACGACACGCAGCAAAGGGCCGCUGCACGUUCAGCCAACAUGGGGCGAACGCUCCCAUGGUUGCGCUAGAGGCCGCCCCGAAUAAUUUGCUUGUUUUUGUUAUGCUAAGUGUUGUACAUAUAGUGACUGUUCAUUUUAAUAAUAAAAAAAUAAUAAUUUAA